AACCUCCGCAAUGUGAGAAAUCGCGACGGGGGGAUCCCAAGUGCCAUUCUUAACGGGAUGGCUUUUCUUAAGUGUAAAAGGCUUUUGGAAUAAGAGCUGGGCAAGACCGGUGCCAGCCGCCGCGGUAACACCGGCAGCUCUAGUGGUAGCUGUUUUUAUUGGGCCUAAAGCGUUCGUAGCCGGUUUGAUAAGUCACUGGUGAAAUCCUGUAGCUUAACUGUGGGAAUUGCUGGUGAUACUGUUGAACUUGAGGUCGGGAGAGGUUAGCGGUACUCCCAGGGUAGAGGUGAAAUUCUGUAAUCCUGGGAGGACCACCUGUGGCGAAGGCGGCUAACUGGAACGAACCUGACGGUGAGGGACGAAAGCUAGGGGCGCGAACCGGAUUAGAUACCCGGGUAGUCCUAGCCGUAAACGAUGCGGACUUGGUGUUGGGAUGGCUUUGAGCCGCUCCGGUGCCGAAGGGAAGCUGUUAAGUCCGCCGCCUGGGAAGUACGGUCGCAAGACUGAAACUUAAAGGAAUU
rnacentral:rRNA from 1 species